GGGGCAACCAAGCACCGGCGCCCGAAGGAGCUAGUUGUGUAGCAAGCGGUUCUAUCUGGCUCAGCCAUGGACCGGAAGGUGGCCCGAGAAUUCCGUCACAAGGUGGAUUUUCUGGUUGAAAAUGAUGCAGAAAAGGACUAUCUCUACGAUGUGUUGCGGAUGUACCACCAAACCAUGGACGUGGCUGUGCUUGUGGGAGACCUGAAGCUGGUCAUCAACGAGCCCAGCCGCCUGCCCCUGUUUGACGCCAUCCGGCCCCUGAUCCCACUGAAGCACCAGGUGGAGUACGACCAGCUAACCCCCCGGCGCUCCAGGAAGCUGAAGGAGGUGCGUCUGGACCGGCUGCACCCCGAAGGCCUCGGCCUCAGCGUGCGUGGUGGCCUCGAGUUCGGCUGCGGGCUCUUCAUCUCCCACCUCAUCAAAGGUGGCCAGGCAGACAGCGUCGGGCUCCAGGUAGGGGAUGAGAUCGUCCGGAUCAAUGGGUAUUCCAUCGCCUCCUGCACCCAUGAGGAGGUCAUCAACCUCAUCCGCACCAAGAAGACUGUGUCCAUCAAAGUGAGACACAUCGGCCUGAUCCCUGUGAAGAGUUCUCCCGAUGAGCCCCUCAAAUGGCAGUAUGUGGAUCAGUUUGUGUCGGAAUCUGGGGGUGGGCAGACCAGCCUGGGCUCCCCCAGCAGUCAGGAAAACAAGGAGAAGAAGGUCUUCAUCAGCCUGGUGGGCUCCCGGGGCCUUGGCUGCAGCAUUUCCAGCGGCCCCAUCCAGAAACCUGGCAUCUUCAUCAGCCACGUGAAGCCUGGCUCCCUGUCUGCUGAGGUGGGGCUGGAGCCAGGGGACCAGAUUGUCGAAGUCAAUGGCAUCGACUUCUCCAACCUGGACCACAAGGAGGCCGUGAACGUGCUGAAGAGUAGCCGCAGCCUGACCAUCUCCAUCGUAGCCGGAGCUGGCCGGGAGCUGUUCAUGACAGACCGGGAGCGGCUGGAAGAGUUCCGGCAGCGCGAGCUGCAGCGACAGGAGCUUCUGAUGCAGAAGCGGCUGGCGAUGGAAUCCAACAAGAUCCUCCGGGAGCAGCAGGAGAUGGAGCGGCAAAGGAAAAAGGAAAUUGCCCAGAAGGCAGCAGAGGAAAAUGAGAGAUACCGGAAGGAGAUGGAACAGAUCGUGGAGGAGGAAGAGAAUUUUAAGAAGCAGUGGGAAGAAGACUGGGGCUCAAAGGAACAGCUCCUGUCGUCUAAAACCAUCACCACCGAGUUGCACCCAGUACCCCUUCGCAAGCCAAAGUAUGAUCUGGGAGUGGACCCCGAGUUUGACCCAGCAGAUGACCUGGACGGAGGCACGGAAAAGCAGGGAGAGCAGGUUUGCGGCCCCCGCUUCGCUCCCUGGCCUUGCUGCUCUGUUUGCCCUGCCCGCCUCCUCCUGCCAGCCCUGCAGACACCUAGCUCUGAGGGUCCAAUAUGUGGUAGGGACUCCUGGAGUCCGGGAAGCUGCUCCAAGCCCCGGCUUGGUCCAAGCACUGCAUACAAUACCUUAAGGACAAGACUCACGGCCAGGCUGAAAUGUCAGCUGGAACUGCUGGUUCAAAUAUUUAAUACUACCCAAGCCUAAGUUCUUUCUCUGCUGCUCUGGCCUCUCCCCCAAGACUCCCUAGACCUCCCCAACAUCCAGCAACUAGGAGGAUAGUGCUGGGUCUAGCAGGGGGCUUUCUAGAUCCUGUUCCAGAGCUCAGGCUGGUCAAGGGUGGGUAAUUAAGCCAUCACUUCUGGCCAGGGAGCUUCAGCCUUGAGGUAUUAGCCCAUCCGUCAUGCUGUUGCCUGGGGAAGGCAGGGGGCUGGUGAUCUGGCCUGGGUGGGGAUAUGCUUUUCUGGGGGCAGAUCUCCUGCCCACUGCUGCUUGAGCGUCCUUCCCUGAGCUGACCCUGCCAGAGCCUUCUCUUCCGCGGUUGAAAGCAGAGGACGUGGCCUGCUCUGUGAGACAAGACAGUUUUGUUCUGUCUGACAGUCGUUCUAGGCAGAGACCCAGGCUCCCUUUUGUUUCGGGUUGUUUCUUGGAUGGAGGAACCUGACGCCAGUCAGGAGAGGCCUUGUUCAAUGGGGCUUUGUGUUUGCAGACUGUGGCUGUGAUGGGGAAAAGCACAUCCUUCUACAAGGGGCUUUCUCUUUGACUUUCUGGCACUGACUGCUGAAGCCAGUGUCCUGGGGGAGGCAGCUGACAGUGGCCCGGGGCCUGGGAAUCGGGCCCUUUCUCAGGUGGUCUUUGGCCUGCUUUACAACCCAGGUGAGGCCAGCCUUUGGAUGGUUUUAUCGCUACGAUGGCAAAUUCCCAACCAUCCGGAAGGAUUUCCGGAAAUACGAGGAAGGCUUUGACCCCUACUCCAUG